rnacentral:rRNA from 1 species
GACGAACGCUGGCGGCGUGCUUAACACAUGCAAGUCGAACGGUGAAAGCGGAGCUUGCUCCGCUGGAUCAGUGGCGAACGGGUGAGUAACACGUGGGCAACCUGCCCCUCACUUCGGGAUAACUCCGGGAAACCGGGGCUAAUACCGGAUAUGACCUCCUUGGGCAUCCUUGGAGGUGGAAAGUUUUUCGGUGAGGGAUGGGCCCGCGGCCAAUCAGCUUGUUGGUGAGGUAGUGGCUAACCAAGGCGACGACGGGUAGCCGGCCUGAGAGGGGGACAGGCCGCAGUGGGACUGAGACACGGCCCAGACUCCUACGGGAGGCAGCAGUGGGGAAUAUUGCGCAAUGGGCGGAAGCCUGACGCAGCAACGCCGCGUGCGGGAUGACGGCCUUCGGGUUGUAAACCGCUUUCAGCAGGGAAGAAGCCGCAAGGUGACGGUACCUGCAGAAAAAGCACCGGCUAACUACGUGCCAGCAGCCGCGGUAA